AAAGGGAAUAACACUCGAAAUGUAUAUAAGAAAUACUCAAGUUAAUAAAAAAAAAAGAAUAUUUAAAACUAAUUUUAAGCUUCUAAGGAUAUGUUAAUUGCCAAAGUACCUCACCUUACCAGAGGACUUAACUUUGUUUUCCUCAUUGGAGAUAUAGCUUCAGUUGUGUUAAUACAGAAUUGUAGGCUAGAGUCAUGGAAGUAUUUUAAAAAGAAACCUGGUGAAACAUACCUUAUUCCAAACAUCAAUCAAAUUGGUUAUUACAAAAUACUGAUAUUUGGCCUAACCAAUCACUUAUACAAAUUUUUCAGGCAAAAUUGAUAAUUUUACUCUUUGCAUGCUUUUGGAUUUACUGUAAAUUGUUCAUGCAACCCAUAGAAAAUGCGCUUACUGUAUUUAUAGGUGUUUCAUCUAAUGAAAAGGCUACAUUUAUGAUUGGAUCACGUGCUUAUUCUCUUGAGUUUCUGCUGCUUCAGCACAGAUUAUUAGAUUAUGUCCUGUAGCCACUGUUUUUAAAUGUUAAAAAAUCAAGCUUUCAAUUCAUAUACAGAUAGCCAAUGUGUGGCUUGUGGUUUACAAUUGAUUUCAAUUACUUAAUACUUUGCUAGAGGCAAGUUUUCUACAUGAAAUCAGUGAGUGAUGAUUUCAGUGUAAAUUGUCUGACAACUCACUGUCCUUUCAGUGCUCUGGCUCAGAGAACUAAACAAAACCAUAGACCCAGCUCUUUGAAAAUGGUAAUGGAGUUGAUAACACACCCUCACGAAAAGAGGAAGACUCCAUUUGCUUACUUUCAAUGCCCAGCCUCACCCUGCCAACUCAGGGAUUUCUAAAUAAGGCUAAAUCUGGACCUUGUUUACAGGAUUUGACAUUUCUAAUUAAUGCUUAUGUUUAGGCAAAUAAAGCUGGUGAGGGGCUGGAGAGAUGGCUAAGUGGUUAAGAGCACUAAGUACUGUUCCUUUAUAGGCCAUUUAAGAACUCAAACUGGAUUGCCUGGACCCCUUAGCAAGGGAGGACAAUGAUACCAGGCAGAUUAUAGGCCUUACAUAGAAACAAUUAGUCAAAAAAUCUCAUUCUUUAUAUCACCAAAACAAUAAUUUGGUAAACAAGUCAAGUUAUAAAUACUCAGCGUCCUCAAUUUAAUCCUCGAGGACUUAUCUUAAUAAAUAAUAUUUUAACAAAAUUUCAAUAAAUAAAAAGGGGGAGUUAUCCCUGUAUGCUAAAUAAUACUCUUUUUAUUUCAAUUUUAAAAUUUGAAUGCCAAGGUUUAUGGCACCCUACAACUAGGCAUACUUCUGCCUAGGUGAAAUAGAAAGAUCCACAUAUUGGCAUGAUCCUGUCCAGGUAUUUUAUAUGGGGAAGAGGGAAUCUUUGUGUUUUUUCUACAGGAUGCUACAGGAGUGUGCCAGCUGCCUGAGUGGCUGGUGAGACAUGCUGAUCCUGGGAGCAUGAAGAUUCAGCUCUCAUGGUUCGGGUUCCUGGAGUCAUUCCUGUGCCCUUAGAGGAAGACGGAGGAUUCCCCCUCAUCUUUUGUCAUCACAGAAAUUCUGGCGUUGCUGCAGUCAUUGUGUCCCAUCCCACUGCGGCCUGCGCUCCAACCCUCUGUGCACUGCUGAUUGCUGGAGAAGACUGGACUCCAGCUGUUACCCCUGCCCCCCUCAUUCCCCUGGUGACUCUUGCUGCCUUGACUGGUGUUGUUAUCUUGCAGUCUGUAGCUUCACAGGAAUGCCAUCUGUGUGAAGCUGCUGUGGACUGGGGAACUCUGCCCUGGUUGUGCAGAUCUCAGAAAUGGUUCCAUUGUCUGCUGGUUGUUCCAGAGAAGAAUGACCGAUCCUGAACUGUCCUGGGAAAGACCUUGGCAUUUUCGCUGCUAUUGUAGCAGCCAUUACUGCUGCAGCCAUUGUGUCUGCAGUGUCUGGAGUUACCCUCCCCCAAUCUAUUGUUAGGCAAGCACAGUGGGUGAACUUUCUGGAGUAGUUGCUAACAAUUGGAAAUUCUAAAUUUUAUUAUAGGAGCAGCUUGACUACGGCCCUUGGUGGUAGCAGCUGAGGAGAACCAGAUGAGGUGCCCACUACUUAUCGGGAGAGGCUCAACUUCCACAAUCUCUUAAAUUAAUGCCAUCUGGCCCCUGCUCUUUCGCCCCUGGGGUAAAGUAAGAGGAAUGAGAGGAUGAUCCACUGUAGCUAUCCUCAGGGACGGGCAACUUCCUCUGACCCUUGACCAAUCUAAGACAGGAACCUUGGGGGUGACAAGGUGAUCCUAUGACGGAUAAGGCUGGGGUUUGAGAGGUCGAUCCUAAGACAGAGGUGGCUACAUCCCGUUUAAAUGUACGGGCCAGUCAAAUGCUCCUCUGCCCAGUUUCUCCCCCAAUAAACACACACGUAUAGCCCAGAACGGUGUGUUACAGCAUAAGUUCAUUCAUAGCCAUUGGGUUGCAGUCCUAACUGCAAGAGUGGCUCGCCAUGGCCGAGCUGGGCACUCUGUGAGGCAUGUCUGAUCUCUCUCAGACCACUACUUCCACCUAAUGGUCUUUUAUAAAAGAGUAACGGGGGAGAUGCAGUGAGCCAUAUUGGAUUUGGGCCUGGCUGCUUUGUAACUGCAUGGCCACAGUAAAAGUCAUGGGAUUGUUGGACAGAGGCCUCUCCCAUGUGUUUAUGACACAGGAAGAAAAGACCAAGUAGUAAACACCCGGUGUCUCCACUGCAUGACCUCUGCUGAGCCCGGCUGAUGCAUGUGGAACUGACACACCUGGACCACACCUGGGUGGUGGUCAAUUUACUUCUGCCUUUUGCUUCCUCAGCCUUUAUCCUUGAGAUUUAGGCUGAUCUUCUUGGAUUUCUCCCUAAUUAAUUCAGGUCUCCUAGUCAGUCUUUUGUUACCGAAGUCACGAGCCAGGUAGUCAUGAGCCAGGGUUUCCCACUGUGCUUCCCAGUUAUUUUCUACCUGGAGACUUGGGUAUAUAAGUGGUGAAUAAAGCUACAGGAGAUUCUCACUCUUCUUCCUCACUCUCGCUCUUCCACUCUUCCUCUGUCUCUGUCUCUCUCUCUAUCUCUAUCUCUCUUCCUCUCUCUUCCUCUCCUGGCUUGACACGAUAACCUGUGUGUGUGUAUGUGUGUUUCUUUCAUCCCGUAGGCUUUCGCCCAAUUUUCGGUACUGUGUUGGUGCUGGCGCUGACAAUCAUGCAUGGAAUCCUGUAGUGCAUCCCUCAGCUGACAUUGCUUUGCUGACUAUGUCAUGGGCAUGGCAUUCUUUUAGGAAUAGAUUCCCUCACAUAUUUUACACAGUGCUGCAUUUAAGAAAAGUCAGUGUAGGUUAUUUCUCUAGCCUUUUUCUGACUGCAAUUGAGGUUGUUUUAAUAUCACCUGAACUCUAAUGUGAUGAAAAGUUCCUGGUAAGUGACUAUAAGUCACUGUUUUCUUCUGAUGUUUUCAAAGUCUUCUAUGAAGGAAACAGGGUAGUGUUAGUGAGGGGCCUACGAAGAGUCAACAUAGAGCUUGAUGGAGUCUUUUCCUAGAAAUCUCUCUCUUGGGAAGUUGAUGUUGUGUUGUUUAGGCUAUCUGCGCAGAACAUGUAACUUACUUGUAGGACCAGUCAAGUAUCUGCAUAGAAAGGUCUCCUGAAGUGGAAAUGAGUACAGGCCAGGGCAGCACAGCCUGCUUGAGUCUAAAAGACUUGUACACAGCGUAGCUCCCACUAAUUCCUCACUCAACAGAAAUAUGCUGCAUAAAAGCAAAGUUUUCAUUUGUCAGUGUGUGUGGAUGUGUGUGUGUUUGUGUUUGUGUGUUUGUGUGUGCGUGUGUAAGUGUGUGAAUGCUUGUUCAUGUUUGUGUGUUUGUGCAGUAGUGAACGUGUGUUUCCCUCUAUUUCCACGUUUAAUGAGAAAAGUACUCUAAGUGUUCACUUUACAUCCAUGAAACAUGAAAUGCAGCUACCUAAUCAUUUGACAUCUCCAUCUAGCUCUGUACAGCAAAAGGACCCUUAAGUUAGCAAUUUAUUCAGUUUUCAAAAAAUUGUAACAUGUUUAUCUUGUGAAGUCUGGGGGAGGGUGGAAAAUAUGUUCAAGUGAGUCGUGUUUCACAGUGUUAACAAAUGGUACAGUCCUGGAACUUGCAGGUCCCUUUUUAUUAUGGUAUAGAAGUAGGACAAUAAAGUCCUUUAGAAAGCAACCCCCCCGAAAUGGCACAAAAACACCUGUAAAUUUAGAUUUUCAAGUGAUUAGGGGCAAAACUACUGAUCUGUAUUGAAAUCCUUUGGAGCACAUCAAAGGAAUGGAAUACAGGGAGGUAAGGGCAAGACUUCUCUUUAAAGUCCAUGAGUUUACGUUGCUUCUCUUUUCUUCACUAAUUGUGAAAGGUGACUGGAAGUUUAUGUCACUCACUGUGUCUUCUCCAAGGUUGGUUUCCAAAUUGCCUGUUACCAUUUCUUUCCAGCUAUCUUGGCACAGUUACAACUUCAGCUGGGAGUUUGGCUUGGACUUUAUUCAUUGAGAAUUUGAGUUGCUUGGAGUUGUAUCGUCAUCCAGCAAAAGGUCCAUAGCUAUGCUAUGGUACAGGAACAGGGCAGUUUCAGGAGCCCCUUUAGGUGCACAAAUAAUCUAAAGCACUCCCCUAUGUUAUCUGUGUAGCAUUCUGCAAGUGCUGUUAAUCAAAAUCAUUUUUUUCUGAGUAAAGUUCAGCCUCAAUGGGGUUAGGAGAAAUGAGGACCUUCAGAUGGGUCUGGGAGUGUAAGAACAGGUAGGCCUAUGAGAAGCCAUGUUCAUAAAGUGGAACAGAAGUUUUAGUUGACACAGAGAUUCCACGUCAAGGAGGAGGUGUUGCCAUUGCAACUAGGGCACAUCAGGGUUGUAGUGAUCCCUAGUGUAGCCCUGAAGGAGAAACUCUCCAGAUGUCCGUCAGCCACGGAGGGAAAAUGCAACAUAGGUUGGAGCCCUUCAAUGGAUUAUGAUUCAGUGUAAGAAAAUCCAUGUAAGCAUUUACUUACUUAACCCAAAUAUCUGUGACACAAUCACAUUAUAGGGAGAAAAAUUGUUCAUUUGGAUUCUGGAUAUGGAGAUUUCCUAUGAUUCUGGGGGCAUAGCUUUGGGCAUGAAGUCAGUCAGGCUGUGGUAAUGAGAGCUCCUAUUAAAAGAAGCUGCACACUUUGGGGAAAGUCUGAAACAGUGAACAAAAACAAAAGUCUAGUCCACCACGAAUAUAUGAUUCUUUGCUGGGAAACAACCUGCUCUACACAGCCUUGGGAACUUGAUAAGCCAGAUUGGGCAAUAUGCAAGAACCUGAAUUCUAUGUCAUUUUACGAGAUGACAAUACAUCACUGACUGAGCUGUGUAUAGGCUACGGCCGCUAUGUACAUAUCCCACUCAAUAUUUGUUUUUAUGCUUCCAGAGUAUCCUGGGGAAUCAUUACAUUAAAGAUUAACUGGGACAGUAAACACUUGACUGCAUUGUACUAUGCUUAUAUUGUGUGAACACAACUGUCUUGUGUGUUUGAGAGUUGGUAUUAGUGUGUCUGUGCAUGUGUUUGUGUGUGCACACAUGCAUGCAUGGUUCCAUUGACAGUACACUCAUCUGAUGACCAGAAUAAGGAAGGAUUAGAGGAAAGAAUGCAGGACACUCUGAAGCAGAAAGAACUGAUCACCCAGGAAAGUGACUUGGGAGAAACAAUGCAGAAGCAUUCAGAUAUCUUUGAGAUCAGGUAGGAACACAGGCUGGCAGAAAGUAGCCAAUUGGAUUUCCUGUCCCUAUACAACUAUCCUUUUUGGGUGGCUGACCACUGACAUGGUUUUCACCCUCAGGCAGCUAAAGAACUACUCAGAGUAUUAUUCUGGAACAGUUUAUGUGAAUUUUGUUCAUGGAACAAUAUGUAUGAUCCUCAGGAUUUCUUCGUAUUUUGUACUUCUUUCUUCCUGUGAACUCUCUGAUAAGAUCUGGGGAUAUUUUCUCCUCUGUCCUCUGACAAAUUGCAUUACAAUAAUGAUAGUCUUACAGGUGUGCUGUUAUGUUUCUUCAUCACAAUCACCUUUAAUGUUCCAUGUGUAUGCUUGGAAGAUAUGCAUGGAGAACAUUCUCAGUGAUAACAGGAUCUAUGCAGUGCCCAUGGAUUUGAUGUGAGAUGGUUUUCCUGUGUAUUUGCAGAUAGAGCGGUUACAAAUGGGAUGUACGCAGGUUCCUUCACUGCCAAAAUAAUCGUAAUCUUCACUUCAAUUCUAGUCAGGUUCUCUCUAAUGCAUGCAAACUGUAUUCUAGGUUGGUCAUAUCUCUCUUGAACUCAGGUUCAGACAUAGUUACAGUGUUAUUAUUCAACAUAAUAUACCUGGACCUUUGAAAAAUAUGCUAAUUUUUCUUUUAAUACUAGUACAGUGUAUAGUUCACAGUCCAGUUUCUAGCAGUUUUUAAAAGCUGAGAUAUAAAUCCAAGCCCAGGUACUCUAUGACACUUGGGGAUGCAGGGAAUGACCUCAGCUGACAGGUCAUGCUGGAUUGUCCAACUGAAUAGAGCUGCUGUUUUAGGGAGAGCUGAAUAGACAAUCCCUCAGUAACCCCCUUUUCCCUUGCUCUGCUAGGUCUGAAAUUCUCCAGCAGAAAGUCAAACAUGGUACAGACCAGGACAAGUUCUCCCUUGGAGAGAAGUGCUAUAGGAGUAGUACUAAAUGUCCACAGCAAAUACACCACUAUUGCAUCUCAUCCCUACUAUCCAUCGCAAUAGUGGCCUGCAUUUUCCUCCUUUAGUUUGAUUUCUUUGGAUUGAAUAGACUGUCCUUUCAUCUCACCUCUCCCCAGAAAGAGUGCACAUUUGGAGGGACUCUGAGAAGACCUGAUGCACAUCAAUUAAGAGAUGGUGGGCAUCUAGGAAGAGUCUACCUAUCCAAUUUUGUACUUGUCCUGAUAGGUCAUCCAGAAGAAUUUCAAGGAGAUCAGUCCAGAACCUUGGAAAUACGUUGAGACCAAGACUGUAAUGUAUUUUAUACUCGGUAUUGGAUGGCCUUGUCCUUCAUACCCCACUCCAACAGAAGAGACCUCCUUACAUUCCACUUGAAAAGAUUAUUACCAUCAGUAACUGCUUGUCUACUACGUUCCAAGGUCAACCACAGGCUAUAAGUCUGUUCUGCAAAAUGAGCAGCAAAAGAAUGUUUAGCACAAUUCCUCUGUUUAGAUUUUGGUUGGAGUUUUGAUUAUUUUGGUUCUUUGGUUUUUCUUGUAUUCAUUUGAAAGUUUGUUAUUUAUUUGUUUUUGUUUUAUUCUUGCAGUUGAUUCACUAUUUUGAUAAGGAUAUAAACUGUAUACAUUUCCUAUGUGCAUCUGGUUACAAUUGAGUAUAUUGGAUGUAUUCUCUUAAAUAAAACAGUGAUCUCAAACUCUUCACUCUUAAGAACCUCCUUUAUUGAGGUGUGGUGUCACCAUCUGAAGUCCCACAGCUGUCAGAGAGGGAUGGAUCUCUGCAUUCUCAUGGGAACUGGGCAUCAUAAUUACUUCUCAGUCAGACUGAGAUACAAAGGCAAUUAUUCUUUCUCUGUAGACUGUGUUGCCAACUCUGUGAAUACCAUGUUCAUCAUGCAAUCCUUGUUGUCAAAUAUUUAGGUACCACUUAAUUAUGCUCUUUUGUGGAUGACAGUGUUGAAUAAAUUAAUGGGAUAUACAUCAGGUUUUCUGUAAUAUUUCCCAGGAAAUAAAAACAUGGGAUAAGGGAGAUUAAAAGCAAUCAGGAAUCCAGCACCCAAAUUUUGUUUUGGAGAGAGCAGAACACCCAGAAGUUUGGACGAUCCUUACCACAGGACAGAACGCCACUUCUGCCCACCUCUGCCCACAUUCCUGGCCCAAGAGGAAACUGGACAGUGCCUCCGGAUACAUAGGCAGGAACCUAAUUGGUCCAGCCUGGACCCAGAUCUGAACUGGAUCCCGAAAUUAUUUGAAGAAAUCCAAAGUCAUAGAAUUCUAUGUUUCCUGAUUGUGGCUUUUUUUUUUAAAGCUGUAAAUGCGAUUUUUGUUUUUUGUUUUAUUUUUUUGUUUUGUUUUGUUCUUGGAUAUUUUUUCAUUUCCAUUUGAAAUGUUAUUCAAUUUCAUUCACUUUCCUGUUUUCCCAGAAAUAAGUCCCCUUAUACCAGGCACUCCCCUUCUUCUAUAACGUGUUCCCUUCCCAUUGACCCCCUUUCCCUACCUCUGACAUUCCCCUACACUGGGGGUUCAACCUAAACAAGACCAAUCAUUUCUCCUAUUUGUGCACAAUAAGACCAUGCUUUACUACAUAAGCAUUUGUAUCAUGGGUUGGUACAUGUAUAGUCCUUGGGUAGUGGUUAAAUCCCUGGGAGCUCUGGUUGGUUGGCAUUGUUGUUCUUAUGGGGUUGCAAGUCCCUUCAGCUCUUUUAACCCUUUCUCUAAUUCCUCCAUAUUGGGUCCAGUUCUCACCUCAAAGAUUUAUUGCUAGCAUUCGCCUCUGUAAUUGACAUGAUUUGUGUGUGCCUCCCAGUAGAUCUCUAUAGCAGGCUCCUGUCCUCAUGCACUCCUUAGCCUCAUAAAUCUUAUCUACUUUUGGUUGCAAUAUAUAUAUAUAUAUAUAUAUAUAUAUAUAUAUAUAUAUAUAUAUAUAUAGACACACACACACAUACAGACACACACAUAUGCACACACACAAAUAUACAUAUACACUCUAUCAGUUUAACAGAACUUUUGGUUUUCCAUUCCAGCUUCAGAAAGGCUUACAAUCUAUAUUAUAUCUUGGAUAGCUUGUAUACUAUCUGAUAACCAUCCAAUAAAGUAUGCACAUUCAGAGUUAAACAGCCUGACAGGCUAUGAGUCUAUAGUCAGUCUUCAACCCUGUCAGAAAUCUCAGAACGACCAAAUAGCUAUACACAUAGGAAGCCUCACACGGCUUCCACAACUGAGAGGUUGUAGAGACAAAUCUCCACUAGCACAGGCCCCUGUUCGCAACAUGUGAGCUCAAGUCUUCAGCCUUCUGGCCCAAAAUCAACUGACCAACUGUUGAAAUGCAGAUUCGAAAGGGCUGAUCACCCCAUCUUGUCAGCAGGGCUUAUCAGUCAACCCCUCUGCAUAAUUUGUCCUUUUCUGGACAGUAUCAGUCUGGAGAUGAAACAGGCAGUUUUGUCCAGUGUCUGUCUAGCCACAAAGUAUUGCCUCGCCUGAAGGUAGAGAUGUUCAAAGUCUUCGUUCAUCCAACCAAAGGGUAACUGUUAGGAGCAGAUGUGUCUCAAGAAAAGAUAAAUAACUUUAAAUCUCAAAUUUUGUGGAUUUCUGACGUUUUUGAAAACCAUCACAAAAAUAAAGCUGCAGCAGGAUGCAGACUUCAUUUUUUCCCAAACAGAUUUGAGUCAUAAUUCAUGUCUACAAAAUUUGUUCUUAUAAGCCAUUCAGUGGGUAUUAGUUCUUUCACAGCCAUGUGCUCAAUACUGAUUUCAAAGACUUUCAUCUUUCCCAAAGAAAGCCCAUACCUCUUAGCAGUAUCAGUCCACAUCCCUACAGCCCCUGAUAUACCAACCCACUUCUGGUCUUUAAAGAUGUUUUCAUCAUGGAUUUCUCAUGUAAAUGCAAUCAUAUACUGUGACGGCAUCUUAGCACAGACAUGUUAAUGUCCAUCCAUGGUUUAGUUUAUACUUCAUUGCUUAUUACCACACUGCAUGUAUACCACAUUUUACCAUUCAUCUUUCGAACCUUUGGGCUGUUUCCACUGGUUAGCUAUUAUGAAGUAUGGUAAGUAAAAACUUUUAUAAGUUGUGUGUGUGUGUGUGUGUGUGUGUGUGUGUGUGUGUGUGUGUGUGUGUGUGUGUGUGGUUUUGAUUUGGGGAAGUGAUUUGCAGGGUGAACUUAUAUUUCGAUGUUUUGGAAAUUGGAAAAACCAUUUUCCAAAAUCACUGUUUCGCUUUACGGAUCUCUGAGUAAUUCAUGGGACUUUAUUUCUCCACAUCCUUGCCAAUACCGGUUAUUGUCUGUGUUUCUAUCUCAGCCACCUUGGCAGGGAUGAGAUCGUAUCUCACUGUGAUUUUGAUUUACCUCUCCUUGAUGAAUAAUAAUGUUGAUCAUAUUUUCAUACGGUAGUUUCUAUUUUAAAACAGGGUUAUCUUGUCAAAUCAAGGGGUAUGUAUUCUUUACACAUUCUGAAUGCAAUUUUCUUACCAGAUGUUUAAUUUAGGCAUAUUAUCCUUCAAUUUUCUUUUUACUUUCUUUAUGAUGUCCUUUGACAUCAUAUGUAAGAUUUUAACCUGAUUAAAUUAAAUAAGAUGUAAGCUGGUUAAAACUCAUUGCUUUAGUUUUAUACCUGUUCUAUUAUAAAAUAGACUGGCGAAAGCAGCUUAGAGGAGGAAGGGUUUGUUUUAGCUCACAGUUCCUGAAGUAGCUGUAUCCAGUAUAUUUUAUCUGUUGACUUGGGUAGGCUAUAAUACCCAGAUAUUCAUCUAAGUCUUGCUGUGAGGGUCUUUCCUAGAUGUACACAUCAGGUCACUUUAAGUGUUGAAAAAUCAUCUUGAAAUCUGGCUGGUCCUCAGCUAACACUAACAGCCAAACCACGCCUUCCUGGAGAAGAAAUCAGCCUGAUGGUUUGCCCUACAGAUUUCCAGUUGUCAACUCCACAACCUCUGAGAUAAUGUUUAAGUAACAUGCAGCUCAUGGUCUACCCUACCGCAUCCUAAACCACAUGGCCUUUGGAGAACAAGGUGGCUAAGAGCAGCCAGUUAAUGGACACCAAACCCACCUUGGGAAUCUUGUAGAGUUUUGUUCCUGAAGCAUUGGAUAAACAAACCAGGUUGCAUUUUCUUCAGCCCAGUGGAUCCUGACCUUUUGAUGUUUAGGUGAGAGCAUUUCACAAGACUGUUAUAAAGAAGUGGGAGUGGGCCUUCACGUCCUUAUGAAAUUUGCAACCAUCAGUUUACUCAGGUUAUAUUACUUGGUUCCAUUCACAGUAACCUGGGGGCUAUGCAUUCAGUUUUCAUGGCUGCCGCUGCCUAAUUCAUUGGAUAUUGUGAAUCACAGUGAGCCAAGGGUUACGGAUUACUUAUCUUACACUGAGCACACUCUAUUUAAUAAAGUCACAGCAUUUAUCUUUUGUAGGAAUAAAGGAAACAGAAUAGACAUACUGUGGAAGCUCUUUAGAAAGACUCACUUCCAUUAUGACUGAUUCAAUGCAUUUUAGCAAAGGUAAAAUUUACUGUUGCUUCGUGCCUUUCAGUUGUGAACACUUGACAACAACCUCAGAUAGUUCAUGGAAUAUCAUUUCAACAAGACAAAGCAGAAAUGAAAUGAUCUCCAUACAUCUUGUGCUUUGAACUUUGAUUCCUGAUGAUACUUUCUCUGACUCAUAACAUGAAAUCUUCUCUUCCAGAGCUCUUCUCUCUUCUCUCCCAGUGCUGGGCAGUUGGUAGGGCAGCUCACAGUCACCCGUGGCACCACCAGGAUAAGCAACUGAUAUUCUACAGUAGACUGUUGUAUAAGCUAUGGUGAUCUGUAGUGACAGUUUUGUUUUCUUUUUUAAAAACAGGAAUAUUAUAAGACUAUGUUUGUAUUUUAAUUCCAGUUGUGGGGAUGUGGAACCUCUUUGGACUGUCCACAGCAGCUGACUAUGAUUUGCCUCAUGCUCUAGCAGAGGCAAGGUUUUACCUGCUGUAGAUAGUUUCUACAAUUGUGUAAUGUUUGGAAUUCUAGGAAGUUUUCAGAGGGUAUAGAAAUGCUAGAGCUCCUUUAGGCGGGGAGGGUGGCUGUUGUUCAUUUAAUGAGGUUGGUUGAAGUUUUUUAGUAGCAUGGUCAAGAAGAAACAAUUUAGAUGCAGAGAUUUUCCUAAUUUCUCUCUCUCCUCUCUCCGUGUUUCUCUCCUUUCUAGUGUUAGGGGUUGAAACAGGGAUUAAUGAGUAGGAAAAAGAAGAACCCCUGAAGAAGGAAAGACAGGCUACGCUGAUCAGCAUCUGGAUUAGAUGUGCCUUUAACUUACAUCUUCAGGCCUGGUUGGAUUUGUCAGGAUAUAAGGACAUUGAAAAUCAAUGAUUCCAGAACAAUCACGAGGACUUCUAGCACACCCAGACUGAUCUGCAGAAAAAUUGAAUCCAUUUCCUGGAAAAGAAGUCCCAUUCAAUGUAGCAAGAUCAGAGAAUAUGGAGUGCAGAGAUGGCUCAGUCAUGAAGAGCACGUAUUGUUAUGGAAGAGGACCUGAUUUCAAUUCCCAGCACCCACCUUGGUGGCUCACAACUGGCUGUAACUCCAGUUCCACGGAAUCUACCACCCUUGAUUUACCAAUGAGUGCACGUGUGGACAUGUCCACAGGAUUUUCUGUAGCCUGUGAGGAAGUCCUAGAUUUAGGACACUGGAUCUGUACACCUUAGAGAAUUAACCACUUCACUGCAUUUUUUUUAUUUUUUUGUUUUUUUUUUGUUUUUUUUUUUUUUUUGGUUUCUGUUUUUCUUUUGAGAUCUCACUGUGGGAGCAGAGGAAGCCCCAAGGAAGUGAAGCCCUGAGUGGAUGUGUGCAGUAAGCAUGAGCAUGUCCAUGCCAAGGACACAAAGCCAUUUAUCCAUGGAGAAAAGGCAAAGGCCCCCAUGCCCCUUGAGGCUCAGACACAUGCCAAAUCCUUCUCAGGAUGGUGUUGAUAGUGUGUGCAGAAAAGUCUACUCUACCUUUUUCCCUGGCCCCAUCUGGAUAUUUACAGCCUGAAGACUGCUCCCUGCAGAGACUGCUCCUACUGAGAUUAGUUAAAUCUGCCCCUUGUCAUUUACAUAUACAUAGUCCUCCCCUCCUUGUUUAUCUGCAAGUAAUGCCCACCUCCUUGCUGCUGUGUGCAACAAUCCUGCUUCCUGGCCAACUAUAUUAUAAACAUGCUGAGCUUCUGGGAUACUGCAUUUUCUCCAGCCCUUGGACCCAGCCUUCCCCAAGUAUGUGUGUCCAAUCUCAUUCUUCAUUGGACUUGGCAAUCUCAGUCUGCUCCACUUUGAAGGAAGUGCUUACUAAACUGAAUACUAAAGGACACAGUGGAUUAAGCUCCCUAUCAAGUGUCUUUGGUGAGGGUUGGGGUGGGUGUGAGACCAGUUACAUUCUGACUAUUGCAGAAGAGUAAAGGAUUCACAGUUUGCUUUUGGUAAAGGUAAGCUCCCCAAGAGGCUGUCAUUGCCAACCUUUUCCCAAGUCACUUCUAGGAGGUCAACUGACUCCUAGGUGAGUCCUUGGUUACACUGCUUCAGUUUUCUGUGGCUACACUGUCCAAAUGGUACCCACUGCUCACACAUGGCUAUUUGAGAUGAACUAAACUUAGAACUAAAAUCUUCCUCUUUAGUCACAGCAGGCAAAGCAGGAGCAAACAGCCAGCCAGAAUCCAUAGCCAGAAGCACAGCAGAUAUUGAAUAUUUCUAUCAUCUAGAAAUUACUCAUGGACAGCAGUGGUCUAGGUUCCUGCUGUCUGGUUUUUCCUUCAGGGAGAAUUACUUCCUGUACCAAUAUCCAAAGGUUUAUUUUUAAAACAACUUUACCAAAGUAUGACUUACUAUCCCCUAAAUUAAUCCAGUUUAAGUCUACAAUGCAAUGGUUCCUCAUAAAUCUACCCAAGUUCAUCGCAAGACCACGGAACAAAAGAAAGAGAGUGCAUGCAACUCUAUAUAAAAUAAAGUAGUAUGCAACAGUAAUGACCACUGCAUAAUUAUACGGCACUACUUUUGAAUUCUUCAAAAUUCAGGCCUUUUAUUGAUAGUUGUACAAAAAUACAUAUUCUAGAGUUGAAAAAAUACUAUAAAGUAUUUCAUUGAGACUUUAAUAUUUUUGUAUCUUUUGCUAGUAUUGUUAGAUUCUUUAUAAGAGUUUUACUUUAUGGAUUUUUUUUUCUUUUUUUGCCAAUCUGGUCACUAUUUGAUGCCAUUUCAACGUUCUCAGGAUUUUGACAAGAAUAUUACCACAAUGAUAUAGUGAUACUCAUUUUCUUUAGGCAUUUACAUAUGUAUAUACACAUAUAUGGGAAGUUAAUAUACAUAUUUUUAUGCUAUACUGUUAGAAUCCAAUUCUAUUAUACCUCAACAUAUACAGUUUGCUCAAUCUGAUAUCUGUGAAUGUCAUCAGUCAUGGGGAAAUAGUAAGAGCCUGAAUAAACAUGGACAAUAUUUGCAGAAUGCACAUAAAAUUGAAGAUGGUAUAUAAGCAAAAAUGUGAAGUAUAUCACUUACGGCCUUCAUAUCGAAUGCACUUUAAAAUGUUUAAUAGAUGAAAAAUAUUUCAAUUAUCUUUACCCACUGUUUUGUUUUUUCUUCAAAAUAUGUCUCCUGGAUGAUUUGAAUUAUAUGUGCUGUUCAAGAUUCUUUUGACAACUGUAACCUAAUGCCUUAAAUGUGUUUCUGAUAUUUCUAUUCAGUUGAUCACUGUCCAGUAAUUGUACCAAGUUGAUAGCUGUAAUUUUAUUAUCACUUUCAGAAUGUAAAUUUCAUGGGUGAGUAUACACUUUUGAUCCUAGCUCUUGGGUGGCAUAGGCAGGUGGAUCUCUUUUUUGAGGUCAACCUGGUCUACAUAGUGAAACCCUAUCUUAAAAAAUCAAUCAAUAAAUAAGCAAAUAAAUAAAAAGAAUCUAAAAUAUUUGAAAUUCAUAUGAACACAACCACUCUUUAAUAACAAUUGAUUUUUACUGCAGAUAAUAUAAUCAAUUUACAAAAUGUUACAUAGUGUCAUAUGGGAACUCAAUUUCAUUGUAAAUUAAACCUGCUUUUCUCUGUUCA